rnacentral:lncRNA from 1 species
UCAAGUCAUAUAGUUAUGAAAUAUGUUGUAUGAAUAUUCUUGUAUCUUGGACAACCUAAUGACUUGCCUUCAAGAAAGGAAAAAGAUUCUACUAAUGAUGCAGGAUCUAUAAGCAAGAAAUGAGAGAUUUCAACUUGAAGGACACCUCCACGUAAGGUACAAUAAACAUUCAUAUGCAAACAAAAGAGAGAACUUUCUUCAGCCAAAAGUUUAUACAUGAGAAGUCUAUUAAGUAUUUGACUUAAAGAAUGCAGAAUGAAUCGGUAAUUUCAGAUAUCUCUCUUAUAAAUCAGUUGAGCAAAGUCAUAUUGUGGCAUGAUUAAAGUCUUUAAUUACUAAUUUCUUGAUAUCAUGUCUACAUAUAUUUUGACUAACUUAUGCUUUUGGAAUUUGUUUCAUGGUUUGCCUAAAUUGAAAUAUACUCUUGCCUGUAUAAUGCAUAACCAUGAAAUACACAAGUGUAUGCCUCAAAUCUCUAAUUCAAAAUAACUUGUGAUAAGCUAUGAAUUAUUGGGCAUAAUGAAAAUGCUGUUUGCAUGAUAUAUAUUUAU